rnacentral:rRNA from 1 species
UACGAAGGGGGCUAGCGUUGUUCGGAUUUACUGGGCGUAAAGGGCGCGUAGGCGGCGCGGUAAGUCACUUGUGAAAUCUCUGAGCUUAACUCAGAACGGCCAAGUGAUACUGCAAUGCUUGAGUGUGGAAGGGGCAAUCGGAAUUCUUGGUGUAGCGGUGAAAUGCGUAGAUAUCAAGAGGAACACCUGAGGUGAAGACGGGUUGCUGGGCCAACACUGACGCUGAUGCGCGAAAGCCAGGGGAGCAAACGGG